UAUUGGAACAACAACCACCCUGAAACCACAAACCUUGAUCACCAUCAACAAAACUUUUAACAAAUCCAAAAACAAUAAACAUGGGUGGGUUGAACGAAGCAACUUCGAGACAGAUCGAAUCUAGACAUCAACACUAGUGGGGUGUGUGAAUCUUGACGACAUACAAUAGUGUGGCAUGGCACAACACAGAACUCGUUGAUGUCCCUCAUCACCACAAUCUCAUAUUUGGACGUCUACAUUGGUGAAGGCUCGAAUCUAGACAGGGGAGGGUGAUGACACUAGUGGAUCUGGAAGAGGGGGAGGAGGAGUGGUGCGACACCAAGAUGGUUGAACAAUAGGAAAAGUGACACCAUGGUGGAAUUGUUUGAGGUGAGAAAAUGGAAAUGAAAAUUUGGGGUGGGGAGAAUUGUUGAACGAAGAGAGGGGAUGUGGGGGAUAAACAGGCAAGGACAGAGAUGUCUUUUCAUCAACAUUGUAGUCGAAAUAGCAAAAGUAGUAGUGGAAAU
rnacentral:lncRNA from 1 species